rnacentral:rRNA from 1 species
AACGAACGCUGGCGGCAUGCCUAACACAUGCCAGUCGAACGAAACCUCCGGGUCUUUUGGCGCAUGGGGUCGUAGCGCGUCGGAACCUUCCCUUAUGGUCGGAAUACCUCCCCGAAAGGGGUGAUAACACCGGACAAUAUCUUCUGACCAAACGUUUAUUGCGCUUGGAUGGUCGCGCGUUGGAUUAGCUCGUUGGUAGGGUUAUAGCCUCACAAGGCGACGAUUCAUAGGUGGGUUGGGAGGAUGAUCAGCCACACUGGGACUGAGACGCGGCCCAGACUCCUACGGGAGGCAGCAGUGGGGAAUAUUGGAAAAUCGGCGAAAGCAUGAUCGAGCAAUGCCGGGUGAGUGAUGAAGGUCUUAGGGUAGAAAAGCUUUUUUAACCGUGAUGAUAAUGACGGUACCUAGAGAAUAAGCGCCGGCUAACUACGUG